rnacentral:lncRNA from 1 species
AUCUUUUCCAAGCAUGGAUUUCCUGACUGGUUUCAGUUUAUCACUUAUGACAUGCUACCUUGGUUAUGAGUCUGUUUUCUCUGGUGACUACUAAAUCAACUACUGCCUAAAAGUAAUGGAGAGACAGCUGAAAAGCUUCUGGCAACCUGUGGAAAUCUUAGUUCAGUGUAAAAAUCCUUUGUAAUGGUUGGUUCUACUGGAAAAUUUGCCAGUAAAAGUGGAAUUGUAGAGAGAAGACUGCUCUAUUCAACGCUAGAAAACAUGAUAAUGAUCAUGAGGAGGGACUGUCACUAAUCAUAUAUUUUG